rnacentral:rRNA from 1 species
GAUGAACGCUGGCGGCGUGCCUAAUACAUGCAAGUCGAGCGAACAGACGAGGAGCUUGCUCCUCUGACGUUAGCGGCGGACGGGUGAGUAACACGUGGAUAACCUACCUAUAAGACUGGGAUAACUUCGGGAAACCGGAGCUAAUACCGGAUAAUAUAUUGAACCGCAUGGUUCAAUAGUGAAAGACGGUUUUGCUGUCACUUAUAGAUGGAUCCGCGCCGCAUUAGCUAGUUGGUAAGGUAACGGCUUACCAAGGCAACGAUGCGUAGCCGACCUGAGAGGGUGAUCGGCCACACUGGAACUGAGACACGGUCCAGACUCCUACGGGAGGCAGCAGUAGGGAAUCUUCCGCAAUGGGCGAAAGCCUGACGGAGUAACGCCGCGUGAGUGAUGAAGGUCUUCGGAUCGUAAAACUCUGUUAUUAGGGAAGAACAAAUGUGUAAGUAACUAUGCACGUCUUGACGGUACCUAAUCAGAAAGCCACGGCUAACUACGUG